GAUGAACGCUGGCGGCGUGCCUAAUACAUGCAAGUCGAGCGAAUGGAUUAAGAGCUUGCUCUUAUGAAGUUAGCGGCGGACGGGUGAGUAACACGUGGGUAACCUGCCCAUAAGACUGGGAUAACUCCGGGAAACCGGGGCUAAUACCGGAUAACAUUUUGAACCGCAUGGUUCGAAAUUGAAAGGCGGCUUCGGCUGUCACUUAUGGAUGGACCCGCGUCGCAUUAGCUAGUUGGUGAGGUAACGGCUCACCAAGGCAACGAUGCGUAGCCGACCUGAGAGGGUGAUUGGCCACGCUGGGACUGAGACAUGGCCCAGACUCCUACGGGAGGCAGCAGUAGGGAAUCUUCCGCAAUGGACGAAAGUCUGACGGAGCAACGCCGCGUGAGUGAUGAAGGCUUUCGGGUCGUAAAACUCUGUUGUUAGGGAAGAACAAGUGCUAGUUGAAUAAGCUGGCACCUUGACGGUACCUAACCAGAAAGCCACGGCUAACUACGUGCCAGCCGCCGCCGUAA
rnacentral:rRNA from 1 species